rnacentral:rRNA from 1 species
UCCGUAGGCGGGCAAUUAAGUCAGAGGUGAAAUCCCACAGCUCAACUGUGGAACUGCCUUUGAUACUGGUUGUCUUGAGUUACAGUGAAGUAGAUAGAAUAUGUAGUGUAGCGGUGAAAUGCAUAGAUAUUACAUAGAAUACCGACUGCGAAGGCAGUCUACUAACUGUAUACUGACGCUAAUGGACGAAAGCGUGGGGAGCGAACAGGAUUAGAUACCCUGGUAGUCC